rnacentral:rRNA from 1 species
UACGAAGGGGGCUAGCGUUGCUCGGAAUCACUGGGCGUAAAGGGCGCGUAGGCGGGUCUUUAAGUCAGGGGUGAAAUCCUGGAGCUCAACUCCAGAACUGCCUUUGAUACUGGAGAUCUUGAGUUCGGGAGAGGUGAGUGGAACUGCGAGUGUAGAGGUGAAAUUCGUAGAUAUUCGCAAGAACACCAGUGGCGAAGGCGGCUCACUGGCCCGAUACUGACGCUGAGGCACGAAAGCGUGGGGAGCAAACAGG